GAAUUACGAGCCCAAGCUUAAAACCCAAAGGACUUGACGGUUUUCCAUCCCCCUAGAGGAGCCUGUUUUAUAAUCGAUUCUCCCCGAUCAACCCCACCACCUCUUGAUACUUAUCAGCCUGUAUACCUCCGUCACAAGCUUACCUUGUGAACGCAUAAUUAGUGAACUUAAAGAUUUUUACAUCCAUACGUCAGGUCAAGGUGCAGCCCAUGAUGUGGAAAGAAAUGGGCUACAAUUUCUACCUUAGAAUAAACGAAUAACUACAUGAAACACAUUUUAAAGGCGGAUUUAGUAGUAAAAGGAAAAUAGAGAGUUCCUUUUAACUGGGCACUGGAAUGCGUACACACCGCCCGUCACCCUCUUCAGAUAAUAACAUAACGUAACUAACACUACAAACUUUCAUAGAAGAGGCAAGUCGUAACAUGGUAAGUGUACUGGAAAGUGCACUUGGACCAACAAAAUGUAACUUAACAAAAGUAUCUUGCUUACACCAAGAAUAUGUCUGUAAAACCCAUUCCAUUUUGAGCCUAAAAUAUAGCCCCAUGUUAUCGAAUGAAAUACAUUAACUAAUAAAAAAACCUAAAACAUUUUCUUAACUUAGUAAAGGCGAUUGAAAAGUAUCUUGGAGCCUAAACACUAGUACCGCAAGGG
rnacentral:rRNA from 1 species